rnacentral:lncRNA from 1 species
CCCGCCGCAGGCCCCCAGCACGGCGGCAAGGACCAGCACACCCGCCGCAGGCCCCCAACACGACGGUCAGGACCACCCCGUCGCAGGCCCUCAGCACGACGACCAGGACCGGCACGCCCACCUCGGGCACUCCCUUCUUCAGCACCUCAUGCCCUCCCUGCUGUUCCUCUUUCUGUGCAGACAAAACUGUUACCAUGGAUCCAUGGCCAUAGCCUAAAUCUUCUUUUCAAACUAUAAAUCGCUAAGGGUGGCUAUAGCAGAGGUAUGUAGCCCCUUGAAAGCCAAAUCACUAACAAAGCCGAUGAAAUGAACUUGCCCUUGUUCACGUCCCUGUUUCUCUGUCUGCCACCAAACUGCAAAGUUGUUCUUUUAUUCAGUUCAUAAGAAGACAUCGUUUUUAGCAAAGUAAGUUGUUCUUUUAUUCAAUUCAUAAGCAGACAUCGUUUUUAACAAAGUUUUAGUUUAUUGAUCUCCCAAAACCAGAUGUGGUCU